rnacentral:misc_RNA from 1 species
AGGGAACCCCUAUGAAAAUAUAUAUCCCAACAAAUGUGGGAUUUCAAUUUUGGUGCCUUGCUUCUUUGUAUACAAAAAUGUGGGAUUUGUAUGGUUUUACAAGUCCCACAUUGAAGAAAAAAGAGCUGGGAACCCCUCUGUUAUGAAUGGCUCCAACCGACUAAUCCUUUCAUAUGUAAUGUUUUGAUGCUUGUAGCCCAUUUAUUAGUGUCGUGGUCUUCUUUGUUUUAGGCUCACUACUAUUUAUAAUUAGUUCAUUCAAAAUUAUUUAAUUAUUGAUAAAAAAAUUAUUUAAUUAUUAAACUUAGUUUAAUUUGAGUCCAGCUCAAGCUUGAUGCCCUUCUGCUCAAUCCAAGCUUAAGCCUAGUGAAAAAUAGUUGGGACCUUAACAUAUGAAGGCUUGGCUCAGUGUAACACCCUCCCUGUAGCAACU